rnacentral:rRNA from 1 species
AACACGUACACAACCUACCUUUAUCAGGGGAAUAGCCCAGAGAAAUUUGGAUUAAUGCCCCAUAGUAUAUUUAGAUGGCAUCAUUUAGAUAUUAAAGAACUUCGGAUAGAGAUGGGUGUGCGUAAGAUUAGCUAGUUGGUAAGGUAACGGCUUACCAAGGCGACGAUCUUUAGCUGAUGUGAGAGCAUGAUCAGCCACACGGGCACUGAGACACGGGCCCGACUCCUACGGGAGGCAGCAGUGAGGAAUAUUGGUCAAUGGACGGAAGUCUGAACCAGCCAUGCCGCGUGAAGGAUGAAGGCGUUCUGCGUUGUAAACUUCUUUUAUUUGAGAAGAAACCACAGAUUUCUAUUUGUGUUGACGGUAUCAGAUGAAUAAGCACCGGCUAACUCCGUGCCAGCAGCCGCGGUAAUACGGAGGGUGCAAGCGUUAUCCGGAUUUACUGGGUUUAAAGGGUGUGUAGGCGGACCUUUAAGUCAGGGGUGAAAUCUCCGAGCUCAACUCGGAAACUGCCUUUGAUACUAUUAGUCUUGAAUUAUGUUGAGGUUGGCGGAAUAUAACAUGUAGCGGUGAAAUGCAUAGAGAUGUUAUAG